UUUUAAAAAAAGGGGGGGAGAGGGGCAGUGACCGCCAGUAUGAAUAUUAUGGUUUAAAACAAUAUCACACAAAAGCUCAAGAAAGUUGGGUUCCAACUUGGUCAUUAUCAUUGCUUGGCCAACUACAAUUUCUUGAAACAACCACUCUUUGUAAUUCUCCUUAUUCUACUGUACAAUGGGAUACCUUUCUAUCUCUCAGCACCCUUGUGGCAAAAAAAUGAGGAAAUGUACAUAAUAAUAUUUGGAAGUAAUAGAAAUAUUUAGGCCAAUGAUAUCUAAAAACCAUUUCAACAUGACAUAGAUAUAUCAUAGAGCUAAUACAAUAGCUUCAGAUAAAAAGACAAUUUAAUCGCAGGUCAACUAUUCUCUCUAGAUCUCUCUGCCUCACUUAACACAUUUUGUUCUUUUUAACCAGUCAAAAGGAUGCAUAGAUGGCCAUUUAAUAUGUUUCUAAGCAACUGCAUUUGUUUAACUUAGAAAUAGCAAUACUAAUAUGUGCUUCCACACAGAUAUUAUUCAUCAGUAGUCUAACAAUCUGAAUUAUUUUUAUGUAGAAAAAAAUCUACUGAAAGAAUAUGGAAGGUCAAAUUCUUACAACAUGUAUGUGGCUUUCAUUUUCAAUACUUCCUAUUUUCAUUUAGCUUUUUCUCACGGGACUUACAUACUUCUGCUUCUAAUAAGAACAUCUGAAACACAAAGUAAACUUUCAAGAGGCUUAUCCAAACUGCCAUUAACAGCUCUGGUUUCAUUUCUGAGUUGAUAUGAUCAGUUUUGAGGGGGAAUUUAUAGUGAGUAGCUGGGGGGAAGGAAUUCACUUUGUUCUAUAAAAUAGAAGUGUUCUAAUCCACCACGUAUUUUAUAUGGAAAUUUUUUUAAAUGAGUGAUUAAUUUCUCUAGAUAUGCAGUCUUACAAACUCAAGAAGUAUGUGACUUGCUUUUGUUCCCUUUCAGCCCCUUUCAUGUUCCUGCUCUGGCCAUGACAUUAUCAUUUCCCCAGAAUCUUAAUUCACUUAACUCGGUUCUUUUCACUACGUCCUUUCUGUCUCCAUGGCCCUUUUGAGAGAAUAACACCCACUUUAUAGAUGAGAAAUAUAAAGCAUACAGAGUUUAUGCCACCUUCCAAGGGGAUUUAAAUUGGGUUGAAAGUCAAAGUCCAGGCAUAUGAGCAAGCCACAUAUCUGUCAAUUCCAUCCCUUCCAGGCUCCCUCGUUUAGGAUGUUAUUACUUGAAAAUAAAACUAGUCUAACUUCAGUGUAGCUCCCUUCUGAGACACUGAACAUCUUUUCAUGGCUCUAGACAGAAAUGCCCCACACUACCAUCCCUCCCCUAUCAGUCCUUCCUAUCAUUUAUACCAGGAAUUCCCAACUUGACUGAAUAUUAGAAUCAUCUCAGUAGCAUUUAAACCAUAUAAAUGCCCAGGCUUCACUUCAGAUCAGUCAAAUAAGAUUUUCUUGGGGGUGGCUGUGGUCAUUCAUUUAUUUUAGUGUGCAACUAAGGUUAAAAAUGACAAGCUUAAGACCACGGUCUUUAAAUAACAGCCUGAGUCCCACUUUCUGAACUAUAUAUAUCCAUCUGGCUCUUAUGAUCGCCUGAAUGCCUACAUCAUAGUUUCUUAUAUUUCUGUUAUCAUUUAUAAUUAUUUCAGACUUUUCCAGUCAUUCAUCUCGUGAGUGUAUAUUGAGUGCUUAUUAUUUACAAAACAUUAUCUUAGCUGUCAUAUAUAAACUUCCCUCUCAACUAAUUGAAACAACCUUGAAGACCUAAGUUAUUUUAUCAUAUUUUCCUCUGAACAGACCUAAUACAAUUAUAAGCUCAUGUUAGAUCUCCAUGAGUACUUUUUAAAUAAUUUUUAUUUUUUUCCAUUAUAGUUGGUUUACAGUGUUCUGUCAGUUUUCUACUGUACAGCAAAGUGACUCCCCCCCCCACACACACACAUUCUUUUUCUCACAUUAUCCUCUACCAUGCUCCAUCAUGGUAGAUAUAGUUCCCAGUGCUAUACAGCAGGACCUCAUUGCCCUUGCAUUCCAAAUGCAAUAGUUUGCAUCUAUUAACACCAGAUUCCCAGUCUAUCCCACUCCCCCGCCCUUGGCAACCACAAGUCCCUGGGUUUCUUUUCUGUGGAAAGGUUCAUUUGUGCCAUAUAUUAGAUUCCAGACAUAAGUGAUAUCAUAAUAGUAUUUAUCUUUCUCUUUCUGAUGUACUUUUUUUUUUUUUUUGUCUUUUUAGGGCCGUACCCGUGGCAUACAUAAGUUCCUAGACUAGGGGUCAAAUUGGAGCUGUAGCUUCCAGCCUACACCACAGCCAUAGCAACAUGGGAUCCAAACCACAUCUGCAACCUAUACCACAGCUGAUGGCAAUGCCGGAUCCUUAGACCACUGAGUGAGGCCAAGGAUCAAACCUGCACCCUCAUAGAUAUUAGUCAGGUUGUUAUCACUGAGCCACAACCAGAACUCCCUCAAUGAGUACUUUCAGUGAAUACCUUCAGUUUUAUAUUUUAUUCUUUUAAUUAACCACCCAGCCUUUCAUUAUAUAUUUACUAAACUUCUAAUUAUAAGGAAGAUACUUUGAUAGAUUGUUUAGUUUUAAAGAAUACACAUCACCUUGGCUAAAAAAUACAUUUACUUACUUCUUUGCUGUCUUUUUGUCGUAAUGUUUUGAAGUGAUUUUUUUUCUCUUCUAUAUUAGACAGUACGCUCUGAUACCUUAAAUUUAUUAGAUAAUUCUUAGAUGUCAGGCAUUUUUCUGAGUUAUUUGCACUUAUUAAUUAUAGCCCAGCCAUGGGAUGGCCCCUUCACAGGGAGUACCUUCUUAGGGGAGAAAUGACUUUGCCAAGGUGACCUAGACAGUAAAAGGCAGAGCUGGAACUGUAGCCCAGACAGUUUGGCCUCAGAACCCAGCACUGCGCCCUCAGCAAGAGACAGUCUUCUAAAGAUAGAGUUUUUAAUGUCUCUUCAAUUCAGAGAACAUAGCCAUAGUUUCCUUAGCUCUACUGGGUUAUAUGUGCUUAAUGACUAACUAGAAGAAUUCUAAAAGAAUUGUAAAGCAACAACUGCUGUUACUGGUACUCAAAUUAAUUCUUACUCAAAUGUCACUAAUAUCACUAAAUUAUUUUGCAGAAAAAAUGUUCUAAGAAGUUCAAAAGCAUUAAGAACAACCUAAUUAUUUUCAAGUUUCAUCACUUUAUAUUAUUAAAAAAUAUUCUGAAUCUCUACAACUGUUCCUAAAUGAGGUUUGCACUUGUAAGUGACUGGGAAUAAACUUCACAAACUAUCUUCACAUUUCAUGAUUUUUUUUUUUGAAGAGGAAAAAAAGCGAAGGUUUCAGUUACUAAGUAAACAAUCUAUAAAUGUACAUCCUGUCUAAAGAAGCAGAAUAUGAAACCAGAGGAUUCUCAAGACUGAAGAAAGGGCAGAAGAUUUACGGUUAUUUUACUAAUACCUUGUUCUUCUAGACAUUUUUCUUCCACCUCUCCUAUACCAUUUUCUCCCUCUCAUUUUUCCUUUUUCCCAUAAUUCAUUACAUUUUAUAUUUCUUUCUUCUAUGUAUCUCUUUUGCAGCUGUGAAUAAAAUUAGAGAAAAAUUUCAAAAUAAUAAACAUUGUUUUCCUUUCCUCAUUUAUUUGCCUACUUUAUCUAUCCUAUCCUGCCCAUUUACUCUCUUUUGUCCAUUUUGGCUCUUUGGCCCAUAUCUCAGUCUCCAUGUAUGCAAAAUCACACGUCAUCUCCUUACAAUAAAAAGAAAUUACUGAUUAAGAAUAUUUAAUUUGUUAGGCACUAGGAAUUAGGUGCGUCGUCCUUGGUGAGAUGCUAAUAUUGUUCAAAGCCCAGUGUUUCCUUAGGAAAUUCAUUAUCAAACUUCUCACCCUAUUUAAGCACAAAUUAAGAUGAAGCAAUUUUUGAAAUCUGAUGCUUAGGCAGAAUUGAGAAUUAAAUCACCAGUGAAAGGGAAGAAGACAAGUGAUAUGAAAACUCUCAGACAUGUUUACAAGCUGUGCAUCAAACAGGCAUGGACGUUUUGACUGAAUAGUCUGUAAGGGACUAGGUAUGUCUUAUGGGUCUAAUCAAUCCUGCCCAAGAAAUAUUAAAAUAGUCAACAUUUGCAAAGAAAAGUCAGAGUAUCUUCUUCUUGGAUCCUUUGAACUUGGUGUUUAGGAUAACCCUUCCUAAAUGAAGCUCCUUAUGGAAACUUGUCCCAUUCAGAAACCCUACCAAUGGUUUUUUCACCAGACUUAAAGAAAACAGAUAGUAAACAUCCAUGGUAAAUAACGAAGAAGGCAUUUCCUACUUUUGUGGUCAAAGACAGGUGUUGACUUCUAAGCCGUGGGCAAAACAAGUAUUCUCACCUUCCCAAAUAUGCAAGAAGUUCCUGGUUAGUGCGUGUGUGUGUGUGUGUGUGUGUGUGUGUGUGAGUGUGUGUGUGUGUGUGUGUGAGCGCACACAGGCACAUAGGAUUGGCAUAACAAAUAGUGUGGUUAUUUUGUCUAAAGUACUCGAGGAUCUUUGAAAGAUAAGCCUAAAACCGUCGGAGAUAAAUACUUCCACUUCACAGAUGAAAAUGGAAAUACAACUGAGAAGUGAGAACUCUCAGCAAGAACUAUAUUCAUGUAUAUUUACUUCACAAAUAUUUAUUGCACACUUAAAAUGUGAUUUGCAAGACACUUUUAGGACCUAAAAUCAAGUUAUCUUGAGUUCCUCUAUCCAGUACUACUAGCUGUUAACUAUAAGAAGAUUAAUAAGUUGUUAGCUACAGUAGCGUAAUAAUCUCUUUUCAGGGAUAAAUUAUAUUUGUAUUUUAUUUUUUCAUAGAAGUAAUAAACUUGCUAUAAUAUAAUGGAAAUUUGGUAUAGCCUUUCUCACAGCUGUCAAGAAACAAACAGAAAUAAAUCCAUAACUGUUUCUCUUUUUCACAUCACAAAUGGGCAAUAACAUUGUCCUGUGUCCACACACACACUGCCAACUGAACACAAACUAUGAAGUGAGGAAACAUCAAGACUUGCUCUUUCCUUACAGACCCCAUUUUGUCAACAUACCUCAACUGUUUUAACACAUGCUCUUCAAGAUAAGAAAGCACACUGCAUUACAGAGAUAUAUAUAUACUCCGAACUGGUACAACAGCUUCAAACUGUCGCUAUGCUCUCCAAACCACAAACAGUGUCUCCACUGUGCAGGGAGAGCAACAGAAGAAUUUUAAGCAAUUCUCUCGUACAAUGGUUUCUGUUAACAGUUACUCUGAGCCUCUGCCUUGGACUGAAGGUGAAGGAAACUGUGAGCUGUCACCUUUGAUGCCUCUCACCUGCUGAUUCCCCCAUAGUCCCUCUGAGUCAUCCGUAAGAGGACUCUGAAAAGAAUACAACAACACUUUGUACAUUGAGUCCACAUAUUUCACACUUGGGCUUUACAUUUUAAUUGUUUCAAAAGAAUAUUUAACUAAGCACAGUUGCAUUUGUCAGUUUAAACCAGAGCACUUGCGAAAGUAAAUUAUACUUAAUAUUCAGCAUCAGAGAUCCCAUGUGGCUCAGCAGUAACAAACCCAACUAGUAUCCAUGAGGUGUGGCCCUAAAAAGAUAUAUGUAUGGCAUGAUUUCCACAUCUGCAAUGAAAAGAGUAAGUUGCUAGCUCUCUCAAGAAGUGCACCUCUUCUUUAAUGUGUACUGCUGAGACUGAUUAACUUAAAGGUGUAAAUAACUAAGACUUUUAAAAUUCCCGAAGUAUAUGAUAUUGUAAUGAAAAAAGCACAAUUUUUAAGGUUAGGAUAACCCCAGUUUGUGUGCCAUGGAGGACCCAUGUGGCCUUAGUCAAUUCACCUAAUAUCUCUGAGAUCCAAUUUUUUUAAUAAAAUGGGGAGAAAAAAUAUCCAUAUCAUAUGUUUGGUAUGGGCUUUAAGUGAGAUCAAAUGUCUGUCCUACAGUGAACACACAGUAAAUGCUAGCUGCCUUUCCUCAUGUGAAAGAAUAUACUAAGUUUUCAAGCUCUAUUUAUCUUUGGACAACUUUUCUAUUAUUAUUGAGGGAAAUUAUAAUGUAAGCAAAUUAUAAUAUAAAGAAAUAAAAUUUCUGAGGUAAUUUUUAGGGCUUUUCUGCUGAAGUAACACAUAUGACCACCUCAGGGUAUCUGAACAGCAAUUCAAGACAUAGGAAUAAUUUAAAUCUAAACAACAAUUUAAGUUCUAGUAUUGAAGCUUCAGUGGUAAAAUAAAAAAAGAAAGUUACAUAUUAAGUAUAGUUAUUGUCCCUUAAAACCCUGUUUUCCCUUUUGGCAUAAUGAGUCUUCACUUAAAGUCAGAAAAGUCUAAUGUUUUCCCUGAGCUUGUGAAAAAGAAUCUAAAAUUUAUCUUCACUUUCCAAACAGAAACUAGAGUUGUUUUUUUAACUUAAAUUCUAAAGACAGUGAAAAACAUCCUGUAGUAAUUAAGAGUAGUUUCUAAUAUCUUAAAGAAGCAAGCUUAAACUGCAAUUUGUGAAGAUCUAUAGGCAGAUAAACUCACAAAUUUGUAUCAUUUAUAGAGGAACUGAUACAGAGACUCAAAUCUAGUUCUAGGAGAAACUUCAAAGAAUUUCAAAAGUCAAACUUACCACAAAACCCAGUUUGUAACCAUGGCUAACGAAAACUAUGACAGCUGUGGAAUCGGUCAAAGAUAACAAAGGGGUCAUUUCUGUGUCACCUAAAGAGAGGCUACUUGUUAGAUGCCAACUUUCCCUUUACUGCUGCUGACAGGGUGCUGUGCAGACAUGGCCCAAGGAGGAGAGCAGAUCCUAUUUCAACAACAGUGAAGACUGGCAGAAAGAAUAAAUCUGAGACAGUGCUAAAAACAUCAAGCGAAUGAGAGAAGCCACAGACUGGGAAAAAAACAUUUGCAAAAAAUAAACCCAAUAAAGAACUGUUUACAAAAUAUACGAAGAACUUUUAAAAUUUAACAAGAAGAAAAUGAAGUAUCUGACUAAAAGAUGGGUAUAACCUGAACAGACACCUUAGCAAAGGAGAUGCAAUUGGCAGCUAAACAUACAAAGAGAUGUUAAACAGCAUAUUGUUAGGGAAUGUCAAAUUAAAACAAUAGAUGUUACUACAUACCUAGUUAGAAUGUCAAAAUCCAAAACUCUGACACUAAAUGUUGACAAGAAUGUGGAGCAAUACAAACUCUCAUUCUUUGCUGUUCAGAACGCAAAGUGAUACAAUGACUCUGGAAGACAAUUUGGCUGUUUCAUACAAAAUGGAACAUACUAUUACUAUAUGACCCAGAAUUUGUGUACGUUGGUUCGUAGCCAAAUGAAUUGAAAAAUUACAUUCACACAAAAACCUACAUAUGGAUCUUUAUAGCAGCUUUAUCCAUAAUUGCCAAAGGAACAAAUGUAUCUUUCAGUAAGUAAGUGGAUAAAUUAUGGUACAUCCAGAAAACAAAAUAUUGUUCACUGCUAAAAAAAAAAAAAAAAAAAAAAAA